CGGCUUGAUGGAUGGCGGGUACCGGGGGACGUUCCAGAUGCCCCGAGCCGCGCUCGACGCGUGGGUGAGCCGU
rnacentral:tRNA from 1 species